GACGAACGCUGGCGGCGUGCUUAACACAUGCAAGUCGAACGGAAAGGCCCUGCUUUUGUGGGGUGCUCGAGUGGCGAACGGGUGAGUAACACGUGAGUAACCUGCCCUUGACUUUGGGAUAACUUCAGGAAACUGGGGCUAAUACCGGAUAGGAGCUCCUGCUGCAUGGUGGGGGUUGGAAAGUUUCGGCGGUUGGGGAUGGACUCGCGGCUUAUCAGCUUGUUGGUGGGGUUGUGGCUUACCAAGGCUUUGACGGGUAGCCGGCCUGAGAGGGUGACCGGCCACAUUGGGACUGAGAUACGGCCCAGACUCCUACGGGAGGCAGCAGUGGGGAAUAUUGCACAAUGGGCGGAAGCCUGAUGCAGCAACGUCGCGUGCGGGAUGACGGCCUUCGGGUUGUAAACCGCUUUCGCCUGUGACGAAGCGUGAGUGACGGUAAUGGGUAAAGAAGCACCGGCUAACUACGUG
rnacentral:rRNA from 1 species